CCUACGGGGGGCAGCAGUGGGGAAUAUUGCACAAUGGGCGCAAGCCUGAUGCAGCCAUGCCGCGUGUAUGAAGAAGGCCUUCGGGUUGUAAAGUACUUUCAGCGGGGAGGAAGGUGUUGUGGUUAAUAACCGCAGCAAUUGACGUUACCCGCAGAAGAAGCACCGGCUAACUCCGUGCCAGCAGCCGCGGUAAUACGGAGGGUGCAAGCGUUAAUCGGAAUUACUGGGCGUAAAGCGCACGCAGGCGGUCUGUCAAGUCGGAUGUGAAAUCCCCGGGCUC
rnacentral:rRNA from 1 species